UACGAAGGGGGCUAGCGUUGUUCGGAAUCACUGGGCGUAAAGCGCACGUAGGCGGAUUUGUAAGUCAGGGGUGAAAUCCCGGGGCUCAACCUCGGAACUGCCUUUGAUACUGCAAGUCUCGAGUCCGAGAGAGGUGAGUGGAAUUCCUAGUGUAGAGGUGAAAUUCGUAGAUAUUAGGAAGAACACCAGUGGCGAAGGCGGCUCACUGGCUCGGUACUGACGCUGAGGUGCGAAAGAGUGGGGAGCAAACAGG
rnacentral:rRNA from 1 species